GCAGUAGCCGCGGGAAUACGUAGGGUGCGAGCGUUAAUCGGAAUUACUGGGCGUAAAGCGUGCGCAGGCGGUUGUGUAAGACAGGUGUGAAAUCCCCGGGCUUAACCUGGGAACUGCGCUUGUGACUGCACAGCUAGAGUAUGGCAGAGGGGGGUGGAAUUCCACGCGUAGCAGUGAAACGCGUAGAGAUGUGGAGGAACACCGAUGGCGAAGGCAGCCCCCUGGGCCAAUACUGACGCUCAUGCACGAAAGCGUGGGGAGCAAACAGGAUUAGAUACCCCUGUAGUCCCUGUCUCUUAUAC
rnacentral:rRNA from 1 species